AGCAGCCGCGGUAAUUCCAGCUCCAAUAGCGUAUAUUAAAGUUGUUGCAGUUAAAAAGCUCGUAGUUGAAUUUCGGGGUUAGUAGGUUGGUCAUGCCUCUGGUAUGUACUGGUCUCACUGAUUCCUCCUUCCUGAUGAUCCGUAAUGCCAUUUAUUUGGUGUUGCGGGGAAUUUGGACUGUUACUUUGAAAAAAUUAGAGUGUUUAAAGCAAGCUAACGCUUGAAUACAUUAGCAUGGAAUAAUGAAAUAGGACGUUCGAUCCUAUUUUGUUGGUUUCUAGGAUUGACGUAAUGAUUAAUAGGGAUAGUUGGGGGCAUUAGUAUUCAAUUGUCAGAGGUGAAAUUCUUGGAUUUAUUGAAGACUAACUACUGCGAAAGCAUUUGCCAAGGAUGUUUUCAUUAAUCAAGAACGAAAGUUAGGGGAUCGAAGACGAUCAGAUACCGUCGUAGUCUUAACCAUAAACUAUGCCGACUAGGGAUCGGAUGAUGUUAAUUUUUUAAUGACUCAUUCGGCGCCUUACG
rnacentral:rRNA from 1 species